rnacentral:rRNA from 1 species
UGGGGAAUCUUGGACAAUGGGGGCAACCCUGAUCCAGCCAUGCCGCGUGAGUGAAGAAGGCCCUAGGGUCGUAAAACUCUUUCGCCUGUGAUGAUAAUGACAGUAGCAGGUAAAGAAACCCCGGCUAACUCCGUGCCAGCAGCCGCGGUAAUACGGAGGGGGUUAGCGUUGUUCGGAAUUACUGGGCGUAAAGCGCACGUAGGCGGAUUAGAAAGUUAGAGGUGAAAUCCCGGGGCUCAACCCCGGAACUGCCUUUAAAACUACUAGUCUAGAGUUCGAGAGAGGUGAGUGGAAUUCCGAGUGUAGAGGUGAAAUUCGUAGAUAUUCGGAGGAACACCAGUGGCGAAGGCGGCUCACUGGCUCGAUACUGACGCUGAGGUGCGAAAGUGUGGGGAGCAAACAGGAUUAGAUACCCUGGUAGUCCACACCGUAAACGAUGAAUGCCAGUCGUCGGGUAGUAUACUAUUCGGUGACACACCUAACGGAUUAAGCAUUCCGCCUGGGGAGUACGGUCGCAAGAUUA